CGUUUCUCUCUCCCCCAAUCCCCACUCACGGUUCCUCUCCCCCAAUCCCCAUGGUUCUUCUUCCAAUUCCUCAACCCUAGGCCAAUCCCGACCCUGCUCGCCGCCAGCUCCUGCCCCUCUCUCUUCCUCGGCUCCAAUGGAGCGAAGCCGGCGAUGCGAGGCCUCCUCCCCUUUCCACGGUUCCUGAGCAGGCGCGCACGCGAGCGCGCAAGGGCAUGCGCGGGGCGGGCUGGUGACCAAGGCGAGGCCAGCAGGUGACGGUGGUGAGGGGCCUAUGCGCGGCGGGCUGCUGCUGUGCUCCGCCUCUCCAUCCCCCCAUCGAGGCGGAGGACGACAUGGCACCAGCGACGUCGCAGGAGCAUGCACCCGAGACGGCCAUCCAUGGCGCUAUUGUUGUCGAUCUGUCUGUCGCUGCUGUGUGCUCCGCCCCGCUGCCCUCCUCCUCUCCUCACUCUCCAUGAGCUCACGCCGAUAUGCCGUGACAUCCCACAAAACCGGCGGCGUGAGGAGGCCGUGGAUGGCGCUACUACUGCACGAUUCAUCGCCACUGAGAUAUAUCAUGUAAUUUCACUUGGAGAGGAGAAGAGAAGCGAAGAGGAAGUGGAAGAGGAAGUGGCAGAUCUAUGGGAGAAUCCCGAAAUACAUAUAUUUGAAUUUGGUACCCACCUAAAUGUGCAUAUGGUAUUCCCGGAAGAUGUUAUAUUGGUUGCUUGGAUUCUCUCGGAAUGCUAUUCUAUAUCUUAUAUGCUCCUAUUACGGAAAAUAAUCGAGUAUGAAGAAAAUAAUAUGACGCUGGUCUGUCCCUAAUCCCUUCUUUCAUGCCCAGGGGAGCCGUGUUGUUCCUGUUCUCCUCCACAUGUUUGGUCUGCCUCUGUGUAUUUAUUUUAUUAUCAAUUACGCAAUAAUGAUUUUCUGAUGGUUAUUGUCUCUGCAAUUGGCCUGUUACACUUGAUUCUGUUGUUGUCCAGGGGUACUUUUCUUCGUAUACCUCUACAUUUAUUUGGAAUAUAUGCAGAUAUGUACCUCUAAAGAAGAGAUAUCUCGGUGUGAUCAUGAAAGUGAGAAGUUGAUUCAAUGCAUGUUCAUCUACCGAGGUCCUUCUGUUAGUUGGAGUUAUGGCUACUCUUUUUCGCCUUCACCGUCCUCUUGAGAGAGUCUUCAUUUCGCCAGGUUUUGGAGAUAAAGAUCAUUAGCUGCUACGAGCUAAGACUUCAUACAUAUAUACUUUUCUUUCCUCCUAGCAUCAAUAUUACAAUAAUCAUUGAUAUGUGGUCCAAACUGGAAAGGUCACAUUAUCGGAGAAGGGUAGAGAAGGAUCGGCAGAACAUGAAUGGGCUACAUGCCCAUCUAUUUUUGUGAUUCAAGAGGUGGCCGCCUCCCUAUCUACCUCUCGGAAGUGGCCGCCGUGGUACUUGAUCGUGGCCAAGCGAUUCAGCACCGAGGUCAUCGACCUCACCAAAGAGAACUUCUCUGACAAGCAGGGUAAUGCUACUUCAAACUGAUGCUUCUUUGUACCAUGUUUAUAUCAUCUCUUUCAUCGCUUGCGAUGAAGCAAUAGUAUAUUUAUAAUCAUGAACUAAUCAUUCAGAGUGGUGGAAUUUCAAAUACUAUUGCUUUUCCAUUUUGUCAUUUGCAUCGUCUUUGAUAGAAGGUUGUUUCUGAAAUAAUCCUCCUGCAGACAUAGCCAUCGGUCGUGAAGCCUCCUGGAUCUAGGUAUGUCUUCAUGUCCUUGAGCUUUCAGAUGUGAAGAUGGCCUUGAUCGGGAAACCAUCGCCUGGGUCGAAAACUACGGAAGAGUUUGCUCCUCAGCCUCGGUCUGAUAAGGUUGGUCUGGCUGCAGCUGGUGCUCCAGAUUCUCCGCCUACCUCAUCCACCGCGAUGACAAACAACCCUUCAACCAAGUUGUUCUUCCGUUCUUUUAUAUAUUCGUCUGCUCGUUUUGUUGAUUAAAGAUGGACAGAAGCGUGACAUUGUUGGACCCAUCUCAUGGGACUUACUGUGUUGUAUCCUAAUAGUAACCUCGCACGCAAUGCUAUACUGCAGACCCUUGGGCAUGUCAAACUGUCUCCAGGGAUUUGAAGCUCCAUUUAAAUUAUGCUGCGGUCAGGUUAUCGGGUGAGCCUAUGUGCUUAUUCACAUUAAUUUUUUUUAUAGCAGAUUUCAUUGUAUCCAAGAAACCUAAGUAAUCAGAAGUAUGGCUCACUCAUGUGAGUCUUAUACAUUAGGGAUAUUCAUAUACAAUUACAUUGAAUCCGGUACUAACUUCUGCUACUCUAGGGAUUUUUAAAUAUUGAUGACAGUGAUUCUUCUGCUCAGAUUAUCCAAUGCUUACGUUUUAAGUUGUGUGAUUUGAUUGUUGUGGAUGCAAAGAUUAUCCAAUGCUCAUAUUGUCAACUUCAGUUGUUUCACAUUCUGGUGAUCGUCUUGAACAUACUAUUCUUUUAACUAGCUGAUGGAUCAGAUUGGAGAAUGAAUUAUGAUGGAUUUUUCUUUGUCUUGAGAAAUGCUUUAUCAUUUUGAUGUUGUUUCUUGGAACAUGAUCUGGAAUAAGUUCUGGUUUCAUUCUCCAUUUUUCUAUUUUGAUGUGAUACUCAAACUAAAAGCACGGCAAGGAAACAAUCGUAACAACACUGUCUGUUCCUGGGAUAAAGACAUUUCACGAGAUACUAUUUGGCACUCGCCUUCCAGAUGUGAAUCUAUCAUUGGUUCCUUAUACUGCUUUGUUAUUUGAAUCUUUUCCAUAAUCCUUGAUCGCUUCUUCCCACAAAUAUUUGAUGCCCCUGAUGGGUUGCUGCAGACAAUCAGAUCCAUACAGUUGGGGUUCAUAGCCUCAUCAUUCAUAAUUCAGAUAAUUCUUGGGUAUAGCAAGUUGCAGGCUAUGUGCUCUAGACAUGCUGAGUUUGUACUCUGGACUGAUCUGCAAGAAGGUUUGAUCGCCCUCUUCGGCAUUCAAUGGGAGGAGCACAUGCUGCCUCCAAACCGCAUCAGAGGAUGAGGCAUCGGCCGCCUUCGUAGUGAAAACGAGGACGUCAAGACAAGGAAACUCAAAAGGAUAAUCAAAAUUCUUUUUAGAAUAUUACUCAAUCUUAUGCUAGAAGAACUUGGUGUUUCAAAGGAUGAAUAACAUCUUGAGCUAUGUGAGUAUUGUUCUGUUUAACGCCUCUGCGCUCCAAGCGGAAUGUUCUCCCGUGUACCCCUCGAUGUCUGUAAUAAAGUCCAAGAGCUAUGAAAACAACAUGGAUUCUGCAUGUGUAAAAUCCAUACAUGUGUUGAUCUGGCGACAAAUACAAUCAUCAUAAACUGCUUAUGUCAAUUGUUCAUAAGCGUUUGCUACUCCUUUUGUGAUUUCGUUUGAUUUAUCCUAAUUUCAUCAUACGACUUUUUUUCCUGUGAAACCUGAAA